GAACAGCAGCAGAGCAGCAGCGAUGGCGCCAGUCAGCACCUCUUCCUGUGCACACCGCCCUUGCCUUGAGUGUCCAGGACAGCCUGGCCUCAAGCAUGGGGUGGGGUGUGCAGCUGAAGCCCUGUGUGCGCUUUGAAAUCUUUCUUCUCUGCUCCUAGCUGCUUUCUGCUGCUCCUUCUCUGCCCUGGGGAGGGUCUGCCAGCUCUGGGGCAUCAGUGAGGGGUCCUCAGGCGCCCCGUGAAGGGCGCAGUGAGGACAGCUGGUGCUGUGUCCGUUUCCCCAGAUAAAACCGGAUCUGAGUGUCAUUUACAGGAAGGGCUGUCCUCCAAGGUCCCAUCGGCUUUAAGACCUUACACGCUUCUCUUUAUGUGCGGAGCAGUUAACCCACCGGCCUUUCCUGGCAGGUGGGGCUGACCCGCGGGCAAGGCAGGGUGUGUGGUGCGGUUCGUGUGUAUGUGGCUGUAGAAGCAUCACACCGCGGAGACGCACGCACAGCGUCGUGUGUCUGUCUUGCAUCGGAACGACGUAGGUGCAACAAACACAGGGACACGGCUUGCGCCUCCACUCGCCCCUCCUCCGGGAACCGACCGUGACCCAGGACUCAUUUCAGUAUAUUAACACCAGCUUUGCUGGUGACGGCCGUGGGACAUGGGUGAUGAGCCCGAGGAAAGAAAAUACCAGAAAGAAACUUCAGACUGAGGAGCAGUCCCUGACUGGGCCUCUAGGCUCACUGUGUAGAGGAGCAUGAGGGGAAUGUGGAACCUUCUGGAACUUGAGAAAGGCCUGGGAAGGCAGGAGGUCGGCAUACUCAGCAGGGGUGCCAGCUCUGGGGCAUCAGGCCCGUGGGCAGUGUGGCUGGCAUAUCUGUGUGUGGCGCACGGUCUGCACACCCAGCACAGCUGGCACGUCCCGAAAGACUUGCGUGUGUGUCCCCGCGUGGGCGAUGUAGGGCUCUGAGCUCAGAUGGGAAAGGCAAAUGCGGUCAAGGGGCAGCUGGUGCAUCCUAAGAACACCUGGGAGUCCUCUGGAUUUUUAAUUGGACCGUCCCCAAUGUUGUUGGUCCACGAAGGGCUCCGAGACCCACCCACACGGCGUGGACCUCUGAGGGGCCACCAGGCCGGCAGAGCGCGGAGACCCUGCUUGCAUGUGGCGGUCCUGUGUGCUGGGACUGCGGCAGCUCAUGCGUGUGUAGAUGUCAUUUGCCCUAUGGUCUUUGCAGCAUGAUUUCUCUCCUCCUGCAUUCUCAUUUUGGGGUUCACUGUCCCUGUCGUCCUGCUCACGGGUGGGUAAAUGGACACAGGCCCAGUACAUCGCCCAAGCCACACAGCGGGCAGGGGGCAAAGCCGGGACUGCGCACUGGCCAGCCUCCCCCCAGCCAGGUGUGCUUUGUUCUACACCGUCAGGUUGGGGGGGCCCUGACGUGAGUCCGGUCACAGAAUAGCUGUGCCGCGCAUAGUUAGUGACCCGCUGAACAGGUUGCCUCAUCUGCAAACACAAGAAUGCCUCAUCUGUGACCGGCGCACAGGGUCGGGGUGGGAUGUGCUCGGCAUCUAACCCGGUGCCCGGCUCUGUGUUGUUUAGCGCCAGGUGCCACUGUGUAUAUACGUAAACCCCCGUCAGGAGGGUGGUGUUGGCCUCCUGGCAUGGAGUAGAUGUGGCGUUCCCUGUUCCCUCCCGGCGGUAUGUCAAACAGAUGCCAGGAAGCUGAGCGGUGGACUGGCUGUGGCCCCGAGACCGCGGAACCCAGAUGGACCACAUCCCCGGCUGUGGAACAGGCUUCCGCAGAGCAGAGAGAAUGGGUGCCACACAGGGAAUGUGACCAGAAACCAGUAACAGAAAGAUUCAUGAUUUUAUCUAUGUGGAAAAUUCCAAGGAAUCUAGGAAGAAGACCUCCCAGAACAAGUAAGGGACAUCAGCUGAUUGCAGGACCCAGGAGAUGCACACAAAAGUCAAUUAUAUUUGCAUUGACCAGCAGUAAAUGUGUAAGACCUAAAUUAAAUAUACAGUGCCAUUCAUAAUAGAUCAAACAAACCAUAUGUGUGUAUAUGUAUAUAUAUAUAUAUAUGACGUAAACCUAAGAAAAUAUGCAAGACUUGUCUGUUGAAGACUCCACAGUGUCAAUGGAAGAAAUCAAAGAUUCAAACAGAUGGAGUGGCAUACCAUGUUCAUGGAUUGGAAGACCCUGGUGAAGAUGUUGGUUCCUCCCAAACUGAUACACAGUUUUACCACAGUUCCUAUCAAAAUCCCAGCAAGAUUAUUUUUAUAGACAAGAUAAUUUUAAGGUGUAUGCAGAGAUACAAAGGAAGUAGACUAGCUAAAAUCAUUUUGAAAAAAGAAUAAAGGGAGAGGCAUGGAUUGAUGACUUUCCAGACUUUCUAGGUAACCACAGAAAUGAGGACUGUGUGGUGUGGGGCAAGGGACAGACACAAGACCAGGGAAACAGAAUGGGAAACCCAAAGAUAACACCCACACGAAUCUGCCCAACUGAUUUCUUUUAGAAAAUAUGCAAGAUAAGUCAAUGAGGGCGAAACCGUCCUUUCAACAAACGGUGCUCACCGUUGGAAAAAAAAAAAAAAAGAACGUGAACCAAAGUCUUGUAUCUUAUACUGAAGUUAACUUAAAAAGAGAUCAUAAACAAAUAUAACACUGUAAAACUUUAAGGAAAAACACAUAGCAGAAAAUCUUUGGGAUCCAGGCUACUCAAGGCUUAAUUAGAUUAGCACCCAAAGUGCAAUCCAUAAAAGGGAAAAUUGGUUAAGUAGGACUUGAUCAAAACUGAAAGAAUUUUCUAUAGGAAGAACCUGCCAGGAGGUGAAAAGGCAGACCACAGACUGAGAGAAGAUUCUGCACUCAAAAUACUCGGCAGUAGAAGAAGAAAGAACCUGAUCAGAAAGCCGGUAAGAGCCAGGAGGAGACCUCUCCCUGAACAAGAUGGACAGACGGCAGAUAUGCACACGAUAGACGCCCAGCAUCAUUACCACUGGGGAAAUGCAAGAGAUCACUGGUGGACCCAGCGAAACGGGUAAAAUGAAAAAUAGUUUCAACACCGAGUGCUGGCGAGAAGUGGAGGAACUGGAACUCUCCUGUCCUGCUAGUUGGAGUGGGACACGUGCAGCCUUUCCGUGGAGACAGUCUGGCACUUUCCUUAAAAAACCUUUACAUGUCAAUACAUGUGAUUCGACGAGGAGCCCUGAGUUUUUAUCCUGAAGAAAUAGACUGACACUUGUGCAGAAUCCUGUACCCCCGUGUUUAUAGAGCAUCUCUGUGUAAUUCCUGACCUCCGCGUACGAAUCCAGAAUGAUCUCAGACUCACAAGCCCAGUGUUGGUCCCACUGGAGGAGAUGGGGUGUGUGUGGUUGGAGCAGUGCUGGCAAGCUGGGUGGGGACCUUAUCGUACUGUUCUGCCUGCUUCUUUAUGUGUGUGGAAUGUUAUGUAACAAGGAGUUCAGGUUAACUCCGGGAGCCCUUGGUGGUGAAUAAACGUGGGUGCGGUCCACACGUGUGCACUCCCACUCACCAGC